AACGAAAAGUUUAUAAGAUCAGUGAAAUUUUAUCGUUUAAAUUAAAUUUGAGUGCUGCAAAUAGUUUUUAUUUAUUAUUAAAACUGAUUAUUUAAGUAAAAACAUUUAAUCAAAGUGAAAAAAUUUCUCAAUAGUUCCAAUGCCAUUUUUUACGAUCCAGAAAUUGCAAGCGAACUUAUUUGCAAGUGAAAAGUAAUAAAUACCGUGGUAGUAAAAAUGUAUUAUUUAAAUUAAAUCAAUUUUAAGUGACUUAUAAACGUUAAUUGAGUGAUAAUUAAAAAGCAGAGCAGAGAUAUAUAGAAGUGUGUUCAACGACGUAAAAAGCAACGUUUUCGCAAUAAUUAAAUUGAAGUCUUCAAUUAAGCCAGCCAAGGACGCCAUUUUAAGACAGAGGAAUCUGAAGCUUUUUCUAUUGGUGGUUAUUUCUUCUGUCUUCAUGUGACUUCUUCGCACUUUGUUGUAUAUUGGACUCAAAAAUGCUUUUAAAUAAUUAAAAGUUAGCUUGGAAAAUUGUAUAAUUUGUUAAAAAUUCAUCUUGGGGAAAAAUGGUAAUUAGAAGAGCCUAAUAAGUAAUAAUAGUUCUAGCAGCUAAUGUUCGUUCAAAAAAUGUUUUUGUCUAACAAUUUAUUUAUAAGAUAAUUAAUAAAAUAAAUAAUAAAAAAUAAAUAAUAAAUCGACUAUACUGUUUCAACUA